rfam:Parasutterella excrementihominis CAG:233 genomic scaffold, scf129
UGAAUCGCGAGGUUCCGACUGAAGGAAGCCCGAGGCAAACCAUAGACCUUGCGAACAGGAACGGUUUCAGGCAAUUGUCGUCGGGUAAGACUGCAAAACAAGUCGAAGCCCUGACAACUGACUUCCUCAAAGGCAGGGGAUGGUCGUGGUU